CCCGUCCAGCUUGCCUUUCUUGCUUGAAAAUUAAGGGCAUCCAGCUUCGUUGAGAUUCCGUUUUGAGCACCUGCUGACAAAUGCCGACGACCCUACGCCAGCCGCGUCGUACGAGGGUAACCCUCAAGUAAUAGCAUUUCGAAAGAUAAUGCAAUAGGUGCUGGAACAGCAGCAUGUCAACAAGUGCCUGAUCCCACCAAAGGAGGAGAUGUACGCAACUCAAGCCAUCAACUGGCUCAUGGAUUACAUAUCAGGCUGACCAGGUCUACGAAUGGCUUCAUCGAGGCUGUGGUGUUCGACACAUGUGACGUCACUACAAUCGGCUCCGUAAAUAAAUAAUGACCGAGAUUA